rnacentral:rRNA from 1 species
CCUACGGGAGGCAGCAGUAGGGAAUAUUGGUCAAUGGGCGAAAGCCUGAACCAGCAACGCCGCGUGCGCGAUGAAGGCCUUCGGGUCGUAAAGCGCUUUUGGGAGGGAUGAAAAUGACAGUACCUCCCGAAUAAGGAUCGGCUAACUACGUGCCAGCAGCCGCGGUAAGACGUAGGAUCCAAGCGUUAUCCGGAAUUACUGGGCGUAAAGGGCGUGUAGGAGGUUGGGCAAGUCGGCCAUGAAAGCUCCCGGCUCAACUGGGAGAGGCUGGUCGAUACUGCCUGGCUAGAGGGCAAGAGAGGGAGGUGGAAUUCCCGGUGUAGUGGUGAAAUGCGUAGAUAUCGGGAGGAACACCAGUGGCGAAGGCGGCCUCCUGGCUUGUACCUGACUCUGAAACCGCGAAAGCAUGGGUAGCAAACAGGAUUAGAAACCCUGGUAGUCCAUGCCAUAAACGAUGUCAACUGGGUGUCGGACGAAGUAAAUUUGUCGUGACCGAAGCUAACGCGUUAAGUUGACCGCUGAGGACUACGAUCGCAAGUAUUAAAACUCAAAUGAAUUGACGGUCUGAGAGNGCGAGACGACGACGAGGAGAGG